UUUUGCAUCUUCCGUGUCACCCCUGAACCAACCGAUGGGGUAAUUUAUGCCUGAUUAAUAGCGCAUUUCCCGACACCAUCCUCCAUCUGCAUCGAACACCCUCGCUGCUCCCUCGCGUCCCGCUCGGUGCGUCUAUUCAGCAUGCGAGUGAUUGCCUUGGCGUGACUUCCCGGGCAGCUUUCGAGACAAGACCCGAAUUGGAGAUGCUGUAGAGUGCUUACAAUCAGCUUCAGAGAGAAGGACACAUCCCAAGGACGCCAGAGUGAUGCACAGCUGUGUUCACCAGUUGGAUAGCUUCAAACUGUCGGCAGAGAGGAACACAACCCAAUAACAGAUAUCGCUCACUCAGCUGCAACAAGACCCACCGCAGCACGGAGAUGAGACAGAUAUGCAAUCCUGCAGCCGUCCAACAGGAAAUGUACUGUAAUGGCGUCUCUUCGAACGGGACCUCAGGCCCCGGCUGGGAAAACAGCUGAAGGUGUGGAAGCGAGUCACACUGUUCACAAUUACGAGGACAGGGAGGGAAACGCAGCGAUCGAGGGUUAAUUCAGCAGAGAUGCCGUUCACGACGUUAAGGCGAGAGAAUUCGACCAUGAAGGCUGUAUUGGAAAGAAAAUGGCUUAUUGACAAAAUACAGUGAAUUAAACAUUG